ensembl:lncRNA
CUCCGUAUUCACGGGCUCCGUGGGCGUGGGGUUGGGCUGCUGUGUGUGCAAGCACGCAGUCACACCCACAGUGCACACACGUGUUUGGCUUCACCGUGGAUCUCCGGACCGAUUUUGCUCCCAAUGAAAUGUUCUUUUUUUCUAAGAUGUUUAAUAGGAAAUCGAUAGCUGCUUCCAUCGACUUCGUAGCCCCGUGCGCGUGGUUUGGUUCAGAGGGCCGCAGGAUUCAAUGCUCCACGUGGAAGGAGCACUUCGGGUGCGUCUAUAGUCCUCGUUGGGGCACUACAGGAGAUUCAGAGCCAAACAGACCCAACCCGGAGCGGAACCCGGAGCCGAACCCGGGGCGGAGGGGCAGCCCCCAUCUGCGCAACGCGUUGGGAAGGGAUCGAGGAAGGCGGUUCGGGGGGUCGGGCAGGCUGAGAUCCGACCCACGCUGAGGAAAACGGGAACAGCAAAAGGGACCCCCGCUCAGAACCUCAUUAGUGCUAAUUAAGAGCUGCGCGUUAUUCCCCUGCCACGGAACCAUCCCCUGAUGGGCGGCCAGGUAAACCCGUGUUGCAGGAGGAGGAGGAGGGCGUAUUGGAAACCGAUUUGCAGCGUUUUAUGCCUUUUUUUUCUGCUCCUGAUCUGGCGUGGAGGAAAGGAAUCCGAGCUGCAAUGCCCUCCGCUUCCCAACAGUUCACAUUUCUAAAGGAAAUUCGGCCUAAAUCGAACAGCCCCCCCCCCAUCCCCCCUCCUCCCAGCAGAGAGCAGGAAGACGCGGGGCAGGACGGGCUGCGCCGAGGGGGGAGAGCGCUCUGAUUGCAGCCAAAUGACCCCGCUAUUAUCGUGAUUAUCUUUUAAAGAAGUUUGGCACCCUGGGAUCCAUCUCAGCUGGAAAUACCGACGACCGCCUGGACGACCGCUGGCAAUUAGCCAUUCGUUACAGCUGUUAACCCCCCCCACACACAACUGUAGGAUAUUUGGGAUCCGGCUCGAAAGGGGCAGUGUCAUAAAGGAGCACCGACCGAUGGGAUCCGCUCUGAAAUCCACUCCCGGAAAUGGAUGGCAGUGCUUUGGGAUGUGCCCAAAAGCCCUCAGAUGGGGUCUGAGGUUGGGGUCCCUCCGCUUCCCGUCAGUGCUGAUUUUGGGAAACACCGCUCCUUGGCAUUAAUUGCCGGUGAAGAUAAGGGGAGGAGCAACAAAAUGCAUGGGUUUGUUUUUAAACGGAAGAAAAUGCAGGCAGGGAAAGGAAAAAGAAA